rnacentral:rRNA from 1 species
CACGUAGGAGGCAAACGUUAUCCGGAUUUACUGGGCGUAAAGCGCGUGUAGGUGGUUCUGUAAGUAGGGCGUGAAAGCUCCCGGCUCAACUGGGAGAGGCCGUUCUAAACUGCAGAGCUAGAGGAUGGUAGAGGGAGGUGGAAUUCCAGGUGUAGCGGUGGAAUGCGCAGAUAUCUGGAGGAACACCAGUGGCGAAGGCGGCCUCCUGGACCAUUCCUGACACUCAGACGCGAAAGCUAGGGUAGCAAACGGGAUUAGAUAUCCCCGUAGUCCCU